rnacentral:rRNA from 1 species
CCUACGGGAGGCAGCAGUGGGGAAUUUUUCGCAAUGGGGGAAACCCUGGCGAAGCAACGCCGCGUGGAGGAUGAAGGCCUUCGGGUCGUAAACUCCUGUCGACCGGGAAGAAUGCACCUGACCUAAUACGUCGGCGUGUUGACUGUACCGGUGGAGGAAGCCACGGCCAACUCUGUGCCAGCAGCCGCGGUAAUACAGAGGUGGCAAGCGUUGUUCGGAAUUACUGGGCGUAAAGGGCGCGUAGGCGGCCUGCCAAGUCCCGUGUGAAAGCCCCCGGCUCAACCGGGGAGGGUCAUUGGAAACUGGGGAACUUGAGUGCAGAAGAGGAGAGCGGAAUUCCACGUGUAGCGGUGAAAUGCGUAGAGAUGUGGAGGAACACCAGUGGCGAAGGCGGCUCUCUGGUCUGUAACUGACGCUGAGGCGCGAAAGCGUGGGGAGCGAACAGGAUUAGAUACCCUGGUAGUCCACGCCGUAAACGAUGAGUGCUAAGUGUUAGAGGGUUUCCGCCCUUUAGUGCUGCAGCAAACGCAUUAAGCACUCCGCCUGGGGAGUACGGCCGCAAGGCUGAAACUCAAAGGAAUUGACGG